CGGUAGAUAAAAUGGAGAGACGAUUAGCACUUCCCUUGACAAGGAUGGAUUCUACCGUAGAAUAACAUGUAAAAGUGAUGAGUUUGU